rnacentral:rRNA from 1 species
GAUGAACGCUGGCGGCGUGCCUAAUACAUGCAAGUCGAGCGAACGGACGAGAAGCUUGCUUUUCUGAUGUUAGCGGCGGACGGGUGAGUAACACGUGGAUAACCUACCUAUAAGACUGGGAUAACUUCGGGAAACCGGAGCUAAUACCGGAUAAUAUUUUGAACCGCAUGGUUCAAAAGUGAAAGACGGUCUUGCUGUCACUUAUAGAUGGAUCCGCGCUGCAUUAGCUAGUUGGUAAGGUAACGGCUUACCAAGGCAACGAUGCAUAGCCGACCUGAGAGGGUGAUCGGCCACACUGGAACUGAGACACGGUCCAGACUCCUACGGGAGGCAGCAGUAGGGAAUCUUCCGCAAUGGGCGAAAGCCUGACGGAGCGACGCCGCGUGAGUGAUGAAGGUCUUCGGAUCGUAAAACUCUGUUAUUAGGGAAGAACAUAUGUGUAAGUAACUGUGCACAUCUUGACGGUACCUAAUCAGAAAGCCACGGCUAACUACGU